CUUUUAUUACAGAUGACUCCGGUCCACAACAAGAAAGCAUUCCAGGACGGAGGGUGUGUCUGGAAGCCCUGUCCGUCAGUAGACAUCACUGCCUCCACCACCUGCAUAUGAGUCAACACCACACAGGAAACCAGCUGGUCGCCCCGGGGCUGGAUUGGUCUAUUGUAACGCAAAAGCUCGGCCUGUCACGUCAUCUUGGGACCCAGUUGAAGCAACUUUUCCUGACAAGCCCGGAGGUUCGACCGGAGGUACUGCCAUCCGUCGCAUGCUA